UGUUUGGUGAAGUUGUACCAAAAUCGACAUUCGGAUGUCACACCGACGGCUUAUACCACUUUUAGUAUACUGGGAGGAACGAUUUUGUGCGGUAAAUCUCGUGUUGCAAAACAUUUUAUUGGRUUUUUGGAUGUGGAAAUUACGAUUCCAGAAAUUAAUAUCUCCUACAAUUAUUUUUCGUGUUCUCGAACAACAUAAAAAUUACAAUUUUUGUUCAUUGUGCGGCUCAGGAAGAUAUUUUUUGGUAGAUGGAAACUUAAAAUGUUCUACGACAAGUAAGUUGACUGUAAAUGAUGAAAUAUGUUCUAAACUGAUGCGUCAUGGUGUUGGAUAUUAAAAUUACAUACAGGGUGUGUCAGUACCGUGGAGGGAGAAAUAAAAAAUGCUCUUGGCACGAUUGGGAUCAUUUUCAAGGGCCCUCCCAUAUUUGUCGCUGUUGUAAUCAUCGUUUUUCUCCUUUUGUUGAUUUACAUAUCCUUGAACAUUUAUUACUUCGGGGCUGCUCGCAACGUUUUGCGACGGUUUCGGCAACGAAAUUUCGAAGACCCAAACCUUGCACCACCAAACACACAUCGUUGGCGGUCACUUAUAAUUGCAGUUGCAAUAAAUAUUGCAAUAAUCAUAUUGGGACUAGUUUUGUUAUAUUGCACAGACAAAAUCAAUUUUGGAAGUUUUAUUUUACUAAUUUUAGCAAGCAAUGCUUUAUUAUACACCCUGAUGUAUACCUGCAUGAAGAGAUGUGUUUAUGGUGAAAGAAUUUGCGUUCAAGCAGUCAUUUAUGGGGUCCUCGCAGCGGCAUGUUUGAUCCCAUCUGGAAUGUUCUUCUUCAACCAGAGCUCAAAAUGGACGAAAAGUCCAGCUCAAUCCCGCCAACUCAACCAACAAUGCAUCUUCGCGGACUUCUUCGACAGCCACGACCUCUGGCACUUUUUCAGCUCCAUGGCACUCUACUUCUCCUUCAUGUACUUGUUGUGUAUCGACGACAACCUUUACGAAAGACGCACAAAUAUCCCUUUAUUCUAAAAUAAAUAAAAACUUUUUGUGAUAUUUUGUCUGGAGUUAACAUUAAAUAACUCAAUACCUAA